rnacentral:rRNA from 1 species
UACGAAGGGGGCUAGCGUUGCUCGGAAUCACUGGGCGUAAAGGGCGCGUAGGCGGCGUUUUUAAGUCGGGGGUGAAAGCCUGUGGCUCAACCACAGAAUGGCCUCGAUACUGGGACGCUUGAGUAUGGUAGAGGUUGGUGGAACUGCGAGUGUAGAGGUGAAAUUCGUAGAUAUUCGCAAGAACACCGGUGGCGAAGGCGGCCAACUGGACCAUUACUGACGCUGAGGCGCGAAAAGCGUGGGGAGCAAACAGG